AUUGAACGCUGGCGGCAGGCCUAACACAUGCAAGUCGAACGAGUGGCGGACGGGUGAGUAAUGUCUGGGCAACUGCCUGAUGGAGGGGGAUAACCACUGGAAACGGUAGCUAAUACCGCAUACCAUCGGAUGUGCCCAGAUGGGAUUAGCUAGUCGGUGGGGUAACGGCUCACCUAGGCGACGAUCCCUAGCUGGUCUGAGAGGAUGACCAGCCACACUGGAACAGAGACACGGGCCAGACUCCUACGGGAGGCAGCAGUAGGGAAUAUUGCACAAUAGGCGCGAGCCUGAUGCGGCCAUGCCGCGUGUAUGAAGAAGGCCUUCGGGUUGUAAAGUACUUUCAGCGGAGAGGCGUUACCCGCAGAAGAAGCACCGACUAACUCCGUGCCAGCAGCCGCGGUAAUAC
rnacentral:rRNA from 1 species